UGAACCUCAUCAUAGCAGCCAUCACAAGUCAAUGAAUACUCAGAUCAAGUGUCUGUCUGGAAAGCUGGCAGUCUUCCAGAAAUACAAUUAGGGCCCAUUCCAGUGGAACAGAAGUGCUACUUUGGGGGUGGACUGAAACAAGUUGCUGGGCUUCCAUUGGCCAUUGCCACUUGCUUGUCGUUGUGAGGAGGGGCCGUGCCUCCACAGGCCCAUACCUGUAACCUGACGAUACUGUUGUGAGCGGGAAUGGAGGAAGUGCAUGGAAGCCCCUCAGCACGAUGCAUAGUGAACAGACAAGCUGUGAACCUUGGGAGUUAUCACCAUGUGUGAUGAUGCUGGUGAAGAAAGCCUGCACUGAGGAGGCUGUCAGCCUGGGUUUGAAUCCCCUCAUUUGGAAUAUAAUCUUGGCAAAGUCUGAAAGCCUCAAUUGCUCGUUUGUAAAACUGGAAGAUAGUAGGACUUGCUGCCCGGGGUCGGGGCAGGAUGGAGGGGGCCCAUGAGAAUUAAGGCAGAGCCCAG
rnacentral:lncRNA from 10 species